AGAGUGGGCCAGGCGGCCGCCGGAGCCGUCGGCACGCACAAUCCGUUGUGCAUGUCUUGGCGCCGGAGGAAAGUCCGAACUGCACAGGGCACGGUGAUGGCUAACGGCCACCGGGCGUGAGCCCAGGGAAAGUGCCACAGAAAAGACACCGCCGACGGAGGACGUGGCAAGGUGGGAAUGUGGGAAAGUGGGAAAGUAAGAGGUGACUCGCCUGAACAGCGACCUUCACACGUUCCCACGUUUCCACCUUCCCACGCCCUCCGGGUAAGGGUGAAAUGGUGCGGUAAGAGCGCACCGCGUCGCUGGUGACAGCGGCGGCACGGCAAACCCCACCGGCAGCAAGCCCAAAUAGGGGGCGAUGAGCCGGCCCGGCUCGUUAUCCAGCCCCGGGUAGGGCGCUUGAGCCCGUCGGCAACGGCGGGCCCAGAUGAAUGGCCGCCACCAGCGCAGGCAGGUUCGUACACGGCUCGCCCGUGUACCCCCGGCCGGCGCUGGCACAGAAUUCGGCUUACCGGCCCACUCUGCCG
rnacentral:RNase_P_RNA from 1 species